rnacentral:rRNA from 1 species
UACAGAGGUCUCAAGCGUUGUUCGGAUUCAUUGGGCGUAAAGGGUGCGUAGGCGGCGCGGUAAGUCGGGUGUGAAAUCUCGGAGCUUAACUCCGAAACUGCAUUCGAUACUGCCGUGCUUGAGGACUGGAGAGGAGACUGGAAUUUACGGUGUAGCGGUGAAAUGCGUAGAUAUCGUAAGGAAGACCAGUGGCGAAGGCGGGUCUCUGGACAGUUCCUGACGCUGAGGCACGAAGG